rnacentral:rRNA from 1 species
AGGACGAACGCUGGCGGCGUGCUUAACACAUGCAAGUGGAGCGACGAACCAGGGCUUGCCCUGGGGCAGAGCCGCGAACGGGUGAGUAACACGUGGGUUACCUGCCUCGAUGACCGGGACAACCCGAGGAAACUCGGGCUAAUACCGGAUGUGCCCGCAAGGGGAAAGGAAGCUUCGGCCUCCGCAUCGAGAUGGGCCCGCGGCCCAUUAGCUUGUUGGUGAGGUAACGGCUCACCAAGGCUUCGAUGGGUAGCUGGUCUGAGAGGACGAUCAGCCACACUGGGACUGAGACACGGCCCAGACUCCUACGGGAGGCAGCAGUGGGGAAUCUUGCGCAAUGCGCGAAAGCGUGACGCAGCAACGCCGCGUGGGGGAAGAAGGCUUUCGGGUUGUAAACCCCUUUCAGUUGGGACGAAGCUUCGCCGGUGAACAGCCGGCCGGAGUGACGGUACCUUCACAAGAAGCACCGGCUAACUACGUGCCAGCAGCCGCGGU